rnacentral:rRNA from 1 species
UGCCAUCCGCCGCGGUAAUACGGAGGGGGUUAGCGUUGUUCGGAAUUACUGGGCGUAAAGCGCGCGUAGGCGGAUUAGUAAGUUAGGGGUGAAAUCCCGGGGCUCAACCCCGGAACUGCCUCUAAUACUGCUAGUCUUGAGUUCGAGAGAGGUGAGUGGAAUUCCGAGUGUAGGAGUGAAAUCCGUAGAUAUCGGGAGGAACACCCGAGGCGAAGGCGGAUGUCUGGCAGAGUAUUGACGCUGAGGCGCGAAAGCGUGGGUAGCAAACAGGAUUAGAUA